GGGGACGUAGCGCAAUGGUAGCGCGUCUGAUUCCAGCGUUUAUCAUAACUUGGAGCUUCCAGAAGGUUGGGCGUUCGAUUCGCCUCGUCCUCA
rnacentral:tRNA from 1 species